rnacentral:rRNA from 1 species
AUUGAACGCUGGCGGCAGGCCUAACACAUGCAAGUCGAGCGGGGUUUUCGGACCUAGCGGCGGACGGGUGAGUAAUGCGUAGGAAGCUGCCCGAUAGAGGGGGAUACCAGUUGGAAACGACUGUUAAUACCGCAUAAUGUCUACGGACCAAAGUGUGGGACCUUCGGGCCACAUGCUAUCGGAUGCGCCUACGUGGGAUUAGCUAGUUGGUGAGGUAAUGGCUCACCAAGGCGACGAUCUCUAGCUGGUUUGGGAGGGUGAGCAGCCACCCUGGAACUGAGACACGGUCCAGACUCCUACGGGAGGCAGCAGUGGGGAGUAUUGGACAAUGGGCGCAAGCCUGAUCCAGCCAUGCCGCGUGUGUGAAGAAGGCCUUCGGGUUGUAAAGCACUUUCAGCGAGGAGGAAGGGGUGUGUGUUAAUAGUACACACCUUUGACGUUACUCGCAGAAGAAGCACCGGCUAACUCUGUGCCAGCCGCCGCCGUAACAC